GUAACUUAAAAUUGAAAGAGUACAAGUAAAACUCCUAGGCAGGGCUUUUAAGUUAGAGCCGAAAAAGAAGUAGAGCAUGUCAAUAAACAAGAAUACAAGCUAAAAGCCAGAGUAUCAAAUACUAAAGCCGCAGGAAAAAACACAGAAAAAAUCUGAAUCAGCCACGCGGACGCCCCAAACAGCCAAAGAAAACGAAAUAGCUUACUGAGAAACAUGAAAAUACUAAAGGGCAAGUCGUAAGCUCCUGGGGUCAAAUAAAAGU
rnacentral:misc_RNA from 1 species